rnacentral:lncRNA from 1 species
AGAAAACCCUAGCAGCAAGGGUCCCUAGCGCCGCAGCAGAUGCCCCCUCGCCUUCCCGCACGUGCCAAGCCUCGACCCUCGCACAUGCGCCAUCGUCUCCGUACCUCCACGUCCGCACACCUGCCCUCCGUACCUGCAAGAGACGCACAAACAAGCAGAAAGAAGACACAAACGAUACAAAAAAGAAGGAGAGAGAGAGAAAGAAACAAAAAAAGGGAGAACGGGGGCGAUUUUUAUUUUCAUUUUCUUCUGUAAAAUAGAGACUAUAAAAGAGACGGAGAGAUUUGAAAGAGGGGGGUAUUAAGAACACAGAGAUAUUUUUGUAUACAAAAUACUAAAAAUAUUGAGAGGAAUCAAAAUAAAAAAAAAAGAUUUGAAAAAGGUGAUUUGUUUUUCUUUGAUGCUUUUCCUUUCUUCUUUUCUUUUUCAUUUCCUGUUCUUUUUACAUGUGAAACCAUGAGAUGAGAGUAGGAAGGGAAGAAAGUACCUGGUGACCGCAUCCUCUCUCCCUCCGUCAUCAUCGGAGUCGAGGGGGAAUCGAAUGGUCUGGGAAAUCGAUUCGUCGAACGGCGCAUCCCCUUUUGUUUUCAGUUUUUGUUUUAGAAGGAAUAGGAUUUUUAGGUUUUUUUUUUUAUGUCUGUUUAGGUUAACUGGUGGUUUAAAGAGGGAUUAAAAAAGGGAGUCAAUAAACGUCGCCGUAUUGCCUGAUUCAGUGGCUCUCAGACGGCGUUGUUUUAGUGCGCGACCCGAUGACCCGACCCAGACGCGGUUAGACCCGCGCGUUCUGGCAUAGGGAGGGAUAUUUGCGCGACCUGCCCUUCCCUUUUCUGUUUUCUUUUAAAUCAAGUCCCUUUUCCUUUUUUGAUUUAGCCCUCAUAUUCUGCUUUCGUUCCAUUUCGGCCCGGCUUGCAACACUGCGUUUUGGGGAAGCGGGAUAUUUCCCAAUCAGGCCCCCAUGUAAUACGCGCCUUGCAGCCUGGUCCUCCUAUUUUUCUUUAAUUUUAUUUUUUUUUUUGUUGAUUCGAUGCUGUUUGCAAUUUAAUCCUUGUGAUCGUUAGUUUUUUUUUUUAUAUUUAAGAAAUUUGUUAUUUUAUUAUCAUACUUAUUUUUUAUUAUUGUUUUAUUAUAUUUUUAUACAUUUGUUUUAUACGAAGCUAGUUUCUAAGAUAGUAUGGUAUAUGUGCGUAUGUAAUAUUAUUAUUAUUAUUAUUAUUAUUAUUAUUAUUAUUAUUCUUAUAAUUCCUUUUUUAGUAUAUGUGUAUAUAAUUAUAUUAUUAUUUUCAAAUGAUAGUUUUAUGCACGAAAACCUUGUUUUUUUUUAGAUUCGUCGUUCUAUCUUAUUUAUUUAACUCUUAUAUAUCAUUACUAUUAUUUUAAAUUACUAUUUAAAUUUAGCACAUACUGUUACAAAGUUUUUCUGUGUGUUUUGUAUGCAUCACCUAUUUAAACUAGCACAUGUAUAUAUUUUGAGCUUUUUUUAUUUCAUGAAAUAUUUAUUUGAAAAUUUGCUUGUAUAUUAUUAUUUCACAUAGUAGUUAUUUCGAACCUUUUGAUGCAUUUCAUUGUUCAUUUUAUUUACUUGAAAAUUUGUUGCAUUUUAUUUAUGUUGUUUCGCUUAGAUCUUGUUCCAAAAUCGACGAUUAACUCAUCUAGUUGUUAAAUGUUGAUAUUUGUGUUCGUAUGGUGCGUGUUGGAUAUUAUUGCCCGCAUUUGUAUUACGUCAUUUAUUAUUGUUUGCUGUUUAUUGAUGAUUACUUGGUAUACACUUUAGCUCAUUAAUCAUAGUUUCGUGUUGUAUAUUAACAUCCCGUCGUUCUAAUCUAAAAUAUUUAGUUUCACUAAAGCGUUAAAACCCUUUUUUUUUUAAAGUUUUCAAAACAACACAACCCUCGACAUUUGGAAUUCUCGAGAAAAUGGGGGUCCUAACGCAUUGGGUUCCAAUUUUUUCUCGUUGAAUCUAAAUGAUCGAAAAUUUUCUACAAUUAAGAAACGUAAAUAAAAACUCAUUCUCGAAAUUUGACACUACGUGUCCUAAUGCAUUGGAUGCGACAUGUCAUUUUCUCGAAAGGAGGUAUUUUUUUAAAUAAUAAGGGUUGUGUUCAAUGCUAGAAAUCUUGAGGAAUCGUGCUCUAACGUAUUGAGUUUCGACUUUUCACCUGACUUCAAGUAAUUGAAUAUCCCUUUUUAACUUCAAAAAUUUUGAAAAGCAAAGACAAGCUCUUUCUCGAGGACCAAAAAUGUCGUGUCCUAAUGCAUUGGGUAUGGCAUUUUCUUACUUUGAGAUGAGAUGGUCUUUAGCAUUCCUAUCGAUUUAUCCAAGCAUCUUUUGCAAAAUGAAUAAAAAUAAUAAGGAUUGUGUUUUAAAAUCUUUUCAAAAUCUCAAUAUUAAGACAUUAAACACUCAAUUCGGUACCAAUUUUGGGCGCCACGAGAGUGCUAACCCUUCCUCGAGCGUAACCGGCUCCCGAACCUAUUUUCUCAAAUUUUGCAGACCAAAAUUAUUUUCAAGGUGAUCCGAUCACACCUCAAUAUAAGAUCGGUGGCGACUCCCAAACUUUCAUUUUUAAUAAGUCGAUAACUAAAAUUUUGAUUUUUCAAAAAGUGGUUUCGACAGCUUGGCGACUCCACUGGGGACCCAUUUAGAGAGUCAAGCCAUAAAAUUGAUUUUUUCUUGUCUUAUUAUCGAAAAUUGAAAAUUUGAUUUGGAAAAAUUAUGAUCCUCUCUUUGCAUUUGUUUGUAUAAUUGUUGUUUUAUACUUUGGCAUCAUAUUGCAUAAGACUGUUAGUCUUGCCCUCUUAAGUGGGAGUGAGAAACUAGUCCUUCGUGAGGUUUUCACCUCCGUGCAGGAUAGUGGAUCGCUUCCGAGAUACAUCCAUACCUAUGUCUUCGUGAGAUUUUCAUCUUCGUGCAGCCAUAGGGAAAUGUGUUCCCCUGAACAAAACUCGGUCCGUAUGAGCCUAUAAUGGGUGAGGAUCGAGGAAUCUGCUGGUUCGGGUACCUCAACUCUAGAACCAAACUGCAUAUAGAAAACCCUAAGAGCCUACCUUUGAUUAUAUUGCAGAAACCCUAGCGGUUACCCAUAUAGGUGUUUAAUGCCUUUUACUUGCUCGAAGUUGAGUUUCUAUGUUGUGCUAACGCGUAGUUUUUUUUUCUUUGAUCGCAUGUCAUUUCAUAUACAAAAAAGUGUCGAUUCAGGUUCGAUUACUAAAUUAAAAAUCUUGGCAUGGAGAACAGAUUUCUUGAUAAAGUAGAGGACAAUGCUGCUGUCCGUGUGUGGUUAGAGAAAGCACAAUCAGAGAAAGGAGAUAGUCUAGCAGAGGGGUAUACGUCGGAGUUAUGGGAUUACACCCGUAUCAGUGUGACGCAAAAUAGCCUUCAGGAAUUAAAGGUAAUAAGGGAUCAUUGGAAUGACGAAACUAAGCAGUUGUUGAACUCUAGUUACGGGGAUUUGCCGUAUCUACUCGACAUUAAGGUAGAUGAGUAUUUGUUUUGGGCUUUCGUUUAGUAUUGGAACCCUGCAUAUAGUUGCUUUACCUUUGGAAGGGUUGAUUUAGUACCCACUAUAGAAGAGUAUACAGCUUUGCUUCAUUGCCCAAAGAUCCAGGUUGAUAAAGUCUACUCUAGAGCCGUUAAUGUCCCAACCUUUGUGAAGAAGUUGAUGAACAUCACCGGAAUGGGGGAGCAGUGGGUCACGACACGGAUCAAGCAGAAGGGGGAAAGCAGAUGCAUCCAUUGGAAAAGCCUGCAAGAGCUGGUUUUGGUACACCCUGAUACAAGAAAAAGGGUCGACGUUUUUGCUCUAGGCAUUUAUGGGCUAGUAAUUUUUCCUAAGGCACUAGGGCACGUAGAUGAAGCCGCCUCAGACCUCUUUGAUCGACUUGAAAAGAUGGUUACACCAGUCCCAGCCAUUCUAGCAGAAACCUUCAGGUCACUAAAUGCUUGUAGAAGGACAGGUGAAGGCAGAUUCAUCGGAUGUGCGCAGCUUCUUCUUGCAUGUUUCCACAACCAUUUUUGGAAGGUUGAUAAGGUUUCGUAUCGAGUCUUCUCCAGAAACUAUUCUCCAUUAAGAGAGAUAGCAACUACACCAAGGAGAGAUGAUAUCUCAGAAGAGAAAUGGUUGGCCAUUCUUCAAAAUCUUUAAGAGGAGGACGUUGAGUGGAGGGCCCCGUGGUUGCUUCCGGAUGAAAUCUUGUAUCAAUAUGGUAAUUUUGAUUGGAUCCUAUUACUUGGAAUUUGGGGAGCUGUUGGUUAUGCUCCAUUGAUGGUGCUAAGGCAGUAUAGGUCAAGGUAGUUUAUACCUGCAACCCAAGGCCUAGCUGAGUUUGAAUUCUCAUAUAAAGACGAUGGAUAUAAAAAGAAGAUCCCAGAGGUAAACAGGGCAUGGGACCAAACUCGACGGAUGAAGAGAUUAGCCGUAGGCCCAACCACGACUCAUGAAUAUAAUGAAUGGUGGGUUAGAAGGAUCAAUGAUAACAUUUCAAAGUCAGGUCAAGGAGAUAGUCAAUCGAUAGAGGAACAUUUGCGGGUUGUUCCCUCCGAAUUGGAAAUUAUGAAACAAGAUUUUGAAAAGAGGAAUGCAGAGCUUGAAAAGAAGAUUGAGCAGUUGGAAGAAGAAAAGAUGCACUUGGGAUUAGAUGUGGAUGUUCAAAAGUUAGAGACUGAGAAAUUAAGAAAAGGUAAGAACAAUGCUGAGGAGGAUCUGGACAGUUUGAAGACAAACUAUAAGAAGUUGAGGUUGUCAAUAAGAACUGCUGGGUUAGGGAAAACUUCAGAGCAAUGGCGUCAAGAGAUUCGGGAAGAAAAGGUCAAGGCUGAUGGAUAGGAAAAGAAAUUUCGAGAGGUCCAAACGCAAAAUGGAGCUUUAGAAAAGAGUUUAUCAAAAAAUCGAAAGGAAAAAUGUGAACUAAAAGACAGGGUGACUGAGUUAGAAAGAUCUCUUCAUCAGUAUCAAAGUUGAAAUUCGGCAAUGGAGUUGAGGGCGAGCUUGAGUAAGAUCGAAGAAAUGAAAGGAAGAAUAGAGGAGUUGGAAUCGGCAUUGCGAAGUUGCGAGAUCCAAACUGAGUACUUGGAAGCCAACAAAAGUUGUCAGAGUGAGCAGCUUUAUCAUCUUCAGAGUCAAGUUGAAAAUAGAGAUCGUAUCAUGGGAGAAGCCGUGGUUCAAAUCCGGGAGGUAGCUGAUCACCUACAGACUUUGGCGGUACAAGUCGAUUCACUGAGCAUAAAAUAUGAGCUGGAAUCAAGUCGGGGACAGGAAUUAGCCUCAUUACUUAGGAAAAUUAAAGUUCUGAGCAUUAGGGCAAGAGCAUAUAUGUAACCUGUUUUAUGUAAAUAAUUUUGUUUUCUAGUAAAGAUUCCUAAAUGAAAUUGAAUCAGAAUCGACGCCUUUUUGCAUUCAUGCAUUGCAUUACAUUGCAUCAUAUGCAUUAAAGUCCACCAAAAGACUCUAAUUGGUUAAAAUCAUUACAGUUAACCUGGAAACCGACAAAGGCUCACCAAUUAAGCAUCAAUACGGUACUCGACGGAAAACUAAGGAAAUGGACCAAAGAUUAGGGAAAUUGGAGCAAAUGCAAAUGGAUAUGCAAGAACGCUUGCAAGCACAAAUGCAAGAACGACUAGAUAAAAUUCAAGAAGACAUGAUAGAAAAAAUGAUUAAAGCUCAAAAAGAUGCCAUGGCUGAAUUGACCCAUCUAUUGACGGGAGGAGUAGAUAAAGGAAAGGGCCCUAUGGCCGAUCAUGGAGAGGGUAGUGAGGAUCCAUUAUAUCCUUUAGGUUUCACUCCACCAAAUGUAUGAACCCAAACUAAAAUGUACCCGAGAGAACAGUCUGUCACAAUUAGGCCGCAACAAUUACAAACUGGUGCCACAAUUUUUUAAGGACGAUCGAGUUUAAACCCGGCAGAAAACCCAAUCAAUCAUACUGUUCCAGAUUUAGAUGAAACAGAUGAAGGAGGAAGAACAAGCGCAGAAUUGCCAAAACAAUGGGAAGAUAGGUAUAGAUGGUUGGAGGAAAAAUUCAAAGCCUUGGAAAGCGCUGAUAGUAAUCAAGGAAUCGAAGCUAAAGAUCUAAGCUUAGUCCCAGAUUUAGUACUGCCUCCCAAAUUCAAGAUGCCUGAAUUUGAGAAAUAUAAUGGAACUAGUUGCCCCGAGGCCCACAUCACUAUGUUCUGUAGAAGGAUGACUGGCUUCGUUAAUAAUGAUCAGUUGUUAAUCCACUAUUUCCAGGACAGUUUGGUAGGGGCAGCAUCUAAAUAGUACAAUCAAUUGAGUCGUACCAAAAUUGGUUCGUGGAGGGACCUAGCACAGGCAUUCAUGAAGUAGUAUAACCAUGUAACGGAUAUGACCCUCGAUAGAAUUACGUUACAAAAUAUGGAGAAGAAACCAAGUGAGAGUUUCAGGCAGUACACACAAAGAUGGAGGGAAGUUGCUAUUCAAGUCCAACCACCGCUCCUAGAAAGAGAGACCACAAUGCUCUUUAUCAAUACCUUAAAAGCCCCGUUCAUCACGCACAUACUGGGAAGUGCAACCAAAAGUUUUUCAGAUAUAGUAAUGAAUAGCGAAAUGAUUGAAAAUGCCAUAAGAAACGGGAAAAUGAAGCAGGAGAGAGUAACAAAAGGUCAGCCUCGAGAAGAAAGGAAAAUAAAGUAAACAACGUAAAUGCCUACAACAAGUCAGUUACAGUGAAUCAGCCAAGAAAGGUGGCUACUAGUCAACAAGCUUCAGCAAGACAAGAAUCUGGCGCAAGACAGGGUACUGAGAAGCCCUAGUUCACAUCAAUUCCAAUGUCAUACAAGGAGCUGUAUCAGAAGUUGCUCAAUGCACAAGUUGUCUCCCCCUUUUACUUAAGCCCUUUGCAACCCCCGUAUCCCAAAUGGUAUGAUAUGAAUGCGCAAUGUGAUUACCAUGCGGGAAUUACAGGGCAUUCAAUAGAAAAUUACACGGCUUUCAAGAAGGUAGUUGAGAGACUCAUCAGCAUGGGUGUUGUCAAAUUUGAUGACUCACCUAACGCAGAAAAUUCGUUGCCUAAUCAUGCUGAUAAGGGGGUGAAUAUGAUGAGUGAAAGCAGAGGAGAAAAAUUCAAGAGCGACAUUGCUGAAGUAAAAACCCCGUUGAAAUGGGUUUGGAGAGAGAUGGCGAAGAGGGGACUAGUUAUUUCAGGUUCUGAAGAAAGGUAUGAGGCUGAAGGCUAUUGUGAGUUCCACCGUGAGGUAGGACAUGAGAUUCAGGAAUGUGAGGGUUUUAAGGCUGUGGUCCAAAGCAUGAUGGAUAAUAAAGAGAUGAGGUUUUAUGAAGAAGUAGAGGAAAAAAGAAAUAUUUGAGCAUCAGAGUUGGCAAUGAAGACUACGGAAACGAAUCAUCCUGUGGUCAUCAUUUUAUGCGCUCGGAGCAAUGAGUUUAGAGUCCAGAUGACACCAAAAAUUGUAAUAUAGAAACCAUCAAAUUUCCCAUACAAGGAUAACAAAAUGGUCCCGUAGAAUUAUGGAUGUAACGUGACAAUUUUGGGAAAAGAAGCAGAAAGAAAUCAGGAAAUACGUUCUUAUACACGCAAUGGGAAGUGAUAUGACACUCAGGUAGAAUCGUCAAGAGAAGAGAAUGGGAAAAAAAGAGCAGAUGAAAGGGAAGGCAGUGGAAGUUGAACCAUUGGUUAAUGAGCCAAUAAAAGAGGAGGAGGCAAAGGAAUUUUUUAAGUUUUUGAAACACAGCGAAUACAGCAUUGUGGAAAAAUUACGCAAACAGUCGGCCCGCAUUUCUAUAUUGGCUUUACUUUUAAGUUCAGAAGAACAUCGAAAUGCGCUAUUGAAAGUACUAAAUGAAACAUAUGUGGCGGAUGAUAUUUCGGUGAACAAGCUGGAUCGGUUGGUCAACAAUAUAAGUGCUGACAAUUUUAUUUUCUUCAGUGAUGACGAAAUACCAUCUGGAGGGAGGGGUUCUACUAAAGCCCUGCACGUUACUGCCCGAUGCAAAGGGUACACACUCCCGGGGGUCCUGGUUGAUAAUGGAUCUGCACUGAACGUAUUACCUUUAUCUACUCUUAGUUGGUUAUCGGUGGAUAGUUCGCACAUGAAAGUGUGCCAGAGCAUAGUAAGGGCAUUUGAUGGAACGAAAAAGAGGGUUAUAGGGAGAAUCGAAGUACCAUUAAGGAUAGGUCCAAUUACUUAUGAGGUGGAAUUUUUGGUGAUGGAUAUUAAGCCUUCCUACAACUGUUUGUUAGGAAGACCUUGGAUACACUCAGCAGGGGCAGUACCUUCAUCGCUACUCCAGAAAGUGAAGAUAGUGUUAGAGGGUCGGGUGAUAACAAUAAAUGCGGAGGAAGAUAUCAUCGCAACAGUAACUAGUGAUGCACCUUAUGUGGAGAUUGAUGAGGAGACAAUAGAAUGCUCUUUUCAGUCAUUAGAAUUCGUGAACGCGAUGUUUAUUGCUGAAGGAAGUAGAAUUCUGGUACCAAAAAUAUCCAGGACCACGGAGAUGGGGCUGCGAUUGAUGAUUGGAAGAGGAGCUUCACCCGGGAAAGUAUUAGGAAAAUACCUUCAAGGAAAAAUUGAAGCACCUAUACUAAAGGAAAAGUUUGAUAGUUAUGGCUUAGGAUACAAGCCAGACAUGAAGCAGAAGAACAAAGAAGUAGAGAAAAGACAAGGGAGAAGAAGGGCACGGUUGAGCGGGAAAGAGGUUAAGUGGGAGCCUAUGUCCUUUCCCUACAUAUUUACAUCUUUUGUAUCGGGUGGAUUUAUUCAUCCUGAGCGUGGGGUGUCCAGAAGUGAAGACAUUGAAGAGAUGUUGGAAAAUGUUCAUGUCAAUUCUAUAGAAACAUCUGGGAAAAGAGCCUUGUUGGAGAUCUGUCCUUACGAACCUGGAAGCGAGCUAAACAACUGGACUGCGGAAGAAAUCCCUGUAGUCUUUAGGGCUUAUUCAGAGUAAUGCUCAGAACAUUCUUGUUGUUUUAGCCUGGAAAUGAUAGGAGAUCCUUUGUGAAAAAGGCUUGAGCCUGAACAUAGUUAUUCUAAUGAAAUACAUCUUUACAUUCAUUUCGAGCAAUUAUUCUUUUUCUUUUAUACAAAUAAGCACUUUCUAAUUGAUUAUCCUGCAAAUAAUUCCUUCAUUUAUAACCUUAUUGUACAAAUAAUUAUUCAUAAAUUUAUAUUUUCUUGGUAUAUUCUUUGAUAUGCCCUCAUAGGUCCUUAGAUAUCAACGACAUGAAUGACGCUGUUUCAAACACAGAGCUUUUUGAGCAAGACAUGUGUUUAGAGGGAUCUCACGAAUUUGAAGAUGACGAAGACCGUGGUAUAUCUCCAGACUUGUCGAGAAUGGUAGAACAAUAGGAUGAGCAGAUCCUACCUUAUAGGGAAUCAUUAGAAAUCGUGAGCCUAGAGGAGGGAAAGGAUGUGAAAAUUGGAACUGAAAUCGCCGCAAAGACAAAGCAAGACCUCACUGAAUUGCUUCGAGAAUUCAAAGAUGUUUUCGCUUGGUCAUACCAGAAUAUGCCCAGACUAAGUACUAGCGUCGUGGUACAUCGUUUUCCCAUAAAAGAGGAUUAUAAACCAGUUCAGCAGAAGCUCAGGAGGAUGAGACCUGAUGUGGUGCUAAAAAUAAAAGAAGAGGUCAAAAGACAGUUCAAUGCUGGGUUCUUACAGGAGAUCAAAUAUUCAGAUUGGGUAGCUAACAUCGUCCCCGUUCCCAAGAAGGAUAGAAAUGUAUGAAUGUGCGUGGAUUACAGAGACUUGAAUAAGGCUAGUCCUAAGGACAAUUUCCCGUUGCCUCACAUUGAUACUUUGGUAGAUAAUACGGCAGGCUACUCAUUAUUCUCUUUCAUGGAUGGCUUUUCUGGAUAUAAUCAAAUAAAGAUGCAUCCUGAAGAUAUGGGAAAAACAACAUUCAUUACUUUAUGGGGAACAUUUUGUUACAAAGUAAUGCCUUUCGGAUUGAAGAAUGCGGGAGCAAUAUAUCAAAGGGCUAUGGUGACCUUGUUUCAUGACAUAAUGCAUAAGGAGGUCGAAGUCUAUGUUGAUGAUAUGAUUGCAAAAUCUAGAACUGAAGAAGAGCAUGUUCAAGUCUUGAAAAGAUUAUUUUUGAGAUUGAGGAUAUUUCAGCUCAAGCUUAAUCCUGCAAAAUGUACGUUUGGAGCCAGAUCAGGGAAGUUGUUAGGCUUCAUAGUUAGUAAGAAGGGGAUUGAGGUGGACCCGGACAAAGUGAAGGCAAUCCGAGACCUGCCUCCUCCGCGCACUAAAAAAGAAGUCUGAAGUUUCCUAGGAAGAUUGAAUUACAUUGCUCGAUUCAUUUCACAAUUGACUGAGAAAUGUGAUCCAGUAUUCCGUCUUUUAAAGAAGCAUAAUCCGAGUGAUUGGGAUGAGGAAUGUCAGCAAACUUUUGACAAGGUAAAGCAAUAUUUGGCUAAUACCCCCGUACUAUCACCGCCAAGUCCUAAUAGGCCAUUGAUAUUGUAUCUAACGGUGUUUGAGAAUUCCAUGGGAUGUGUAUUGGGCCAACACGAUGAAACAGGAAAGAAAGAAAGGGCAAUAUAUUAUCUCAGCAAGAAAUUCACUGGCUGUGAAAUGAGAUACUCGUCAAUUGAGAAAUUGUGUUGUGCUUUAAUCUGGGCAACACGAAGACUAAGGCAGUAUAUGUUGUAUCAUACGACUUGGCUGAUUUGGAAGUUGGAUCCUUUAAAAUAUAUGAUGGAAUCAACUGUUCCAAACGGGAAAAUGGCUAGAUGGCAGAUCCUGCUCUCUGAAUUUGACAUAGUAUACGUAAGUCAGAAGGCCAUAAAGGGGAGUGCAAUAGCUGAUUUCCUGGCUAGUAGAGCCUUGGAGGAUUAUGAGCCUUUAAACUUUGAUUUUCCAAAUGAGGAUUUGAUGUAUGUGGCAAGCACUGAAGAAAAUCCCCAAAGAGAUCACGAGUAGAGGUUAAAUUUUGACGAAGCUUCGAAUGCUAUAAGUAAUGGAAUUGGGGCAGUCUUGGUAUCGCCAAGUGGAGAUCAUUACCCUGUGGCUAGUUGGACUUUGAUUGCACAAAUAAUAUGGCAAAAUAUGAAGCAUGUAUUAUGGGCAUUCGUGCAGCCAUCGAACGGAACAUCAAAGUACUAAGAGUAUAUGGGGACUCCCCAUUGGUGAUAUACCAACUCAAAGGGGAAUGGGAAACUAAAGACCCUAAGUUAGUUAGUUAUAGAAGGCUGGUCCUCGAGUUGGUUGAUGAGUUUGACGAUAUCACCUUCAGUUAUCUCCCACGAGAGGAAAACCAAAUGGCUGAUGCAUUGGUUACUCUAGCUUCGAUGAUUUAGGUGAACAGGCUUGAAGUAAUGAGGCCUAUUUAGAUGAGUAUCUAUGAAACCCCAACUCAUUGCUACAGUAUUGAGGAUGAGGGAAAAGACGAUCACCCUUGGUAUCAGAGUAUCCUACAGUAUGUGAAGAAUCGAUAGUACCCUAGUCAAGUAACGGAGAACGACAAGAGAACUCUGAGAAGAUUAGCCAUCGAAUAUGUCUUAGAUGGGGAAGUGCUAUACAAAAGAAGGAAAGAUCAAGUACUAUUAAGAUGUGUGGAUGCCGUGGAAGCUAAGAAAAUUUUGGAGGAAGUCCAUGAGGGUAUCUGUGGGACGCACGCCAACGGUUUCACCAUGGCCAGACAGGUCAUGAGAUCUGGAUACUAUUGGUACACUAUGGAAAGGGAUUGCAUUGAUUACGCCAAGAAAUGCCAUAAGUGUCAAAUUUAUGGAGACAAGAUGCAUACACCCCCUUCGCCACUUCACGUUAUAACCUCUCCAUUGCCGUUCUCCAUGUGGGGUAUGGAUGUCAUUGGGCCGAUAUCACUGAUGGCUUCUAAUGGGCAUUGUUUCAUCUUCGUAGUCAUUGAUUAUUUCACCAAGUGGGUAGAAGUCGCUUCAUACGCAAACGUCACGAAGUCAGCAGUCAGUAAAUUCUUGAAAAAAGAGAUCAUUUGUCGAUAUGGAAUGCCUGAGAGAAUCAUAUCCGACAAUGCGCUAAAUUUGAACAAUAUCACAAUAGUUGAGGUUUGUAGCCAAUUUAAGAUUAAACAUCAUAACUCUUCGCCGUAUCGUCCAAAAAUGAAUGGUGCAGUGGAGGUGGCCAAUAAGAAUAUUAAAAGAAUUGUGGGGAAAAUGACUGAAACUUACAAAGAUUGGCAUGAGAAGUUAUCAUUUGCUCUCAUUGCCUAUCGAACAUCUGUUAGAACUUCUACCGGGGCAAUACCUUUUUCUCUAGUUUAUGGAAUGGAGGCAGUAUUACCCAUUGAAGUUGAGAUCCCCUCUCUACGGGUAUUAUCUGAACUCCAGUUGGACGAAGCUGAGUGGGUCCAAUCUCGCUAUGAUCAGUUGAACCUAAUAGAGGAGAAGCGGUUAAGAGCCAUUCACCAUGGGCAAAUGUACCAGAAACGAAUGAUGCGAGCCUAUGAUAAAAAGGUUCGACCCAGAGAAUUUUGCGAAGGAGACUUGGUGCUAAAAAAGAUCCUUCCUAUGCAAAAGGACUUUAGAGGAAAAUGGAUGCCAAAUUGGGAGGGUCCUUAUGUUGUAAAGAAGGCCUUUUCUGGUGGAGCUUUGAUUCUAAGUGAGAUGGAUGGUAAAAUUUUGCCAAACCCCGUAAACGCAGAUUCUGUCGAAAAAUACUUCACUUGAAAGAAGAGGACCAAAGUGAAAACCCGCAAAGGGCGCUUUGCUUUCUAAAAAAAAAGAUUUGGAGAGGCCAAGGUGAAAACCCGCAAAGGGCACCUUGAGAUCAAAGGGGAUUUGAGUUGAAAACCCAAAAAGGGCGGCUCAAAUAUUGGUCAGAGAGGGGCAUGAGAAGAUUGGAACAGUUCAAAUUUUGAUCGGGGCACACGAUGAUCUUGCUAUACCUGGACCAACAAGAAAGGGCAUACAACAUCUUUGAGUAUCGACAGAGUACUGCAGAUCUCCUAAACACAUGCUAAACUCAGAAUAGUCUUCAGAAGUUUUGUACAGAGAAAUUCAAGCUGUGAUAACUGGGGCACCUAGUUCUUAUUGUGUUGAGUGUGUUAAUACCUUUUUUUCUUUCUUAUUAAUAUGCACAUUCUCAAUCAACUUCUUUGUUAUUCUUCUUUAGCUAUUGUUGAUAUUUUAUCUCUUUCGAGCUAUGCUCAGAACCAACAUCUAUCCAUAAUCAUAAUCUUUCAGCAAACCUGUUGCAUUGGAAUAAUGAUUAAUGGACUACUAAAACUUUCACAAAACAAGUUUUGCACAUUACUUUGAAAAAUUUCUAAAUAAUACAGUAAUCUGAAACAGGACUAUUGUUUAGAAUGAACCAGGUUUAAAGGUCAGAAAUCUAAGAAAAAGUCUAAUUUUAAACAAUCCCUUCAGAUUUCGUUGACAGAAGCGUCAAUUGAACGAAGUGUCAACAAUAAUCAUGAGUUAGACAAGAGAGAUCUCCUUGGAGGAAAACUCUUCGUGCACAAGCAUUUGAUAUAGCAUUUCGAGAGUGGUACAAAAACCAAGAUUUACACGUUUGAUAUCCUUCAAAUGGCAAUGGGAAAGAGUUGAAAAGCCAGAUCUCCUCAUUUUUGAGUCACAUAUAGAGAAUGAAGAUACAACUUUUGCAUCCUGGAGGAUUAAACUUGAAAGUUUACAGUGGGGGAAAUUUAGUCAAGUGCUUUAUUAAAGGUACCAGCCGAGAAGGAAUGUGUUAAAGCACGGUCGUCACAAAAGCCUUAAUAGAUUUUGAGUAAUACAGCAGCAUCUUGCAUUCAUGCAAACAUCAUUCACAUGUCUAGUUAGAAGCAUUUGUUUCAUUUUGAUCAAACCAUCUUAAGCUUUAGGCAUAAUUAAGUUUAUCAAAGGGUUAUGUUCCCUAGAGAACAAAUCAGCGAGUAAGCAGGUCUUAUUCCCCUGAAGUUAUAGUGGGACAAAUCGAAGAUGGCGGAUCUUAUCUCUCUGAAGUUUUAGUAGAGUGGAUCACAUCGAGUCUUAUCCCUCUGAAGUCACAGUGGGGCAGACUGAAGAAGCAAAUCUUAUCUCCCUGAGGUUGCAGUGGAGCAUAUUGAAGUCAAUAAUACUAUCUCCCUGAGGUUGUAGUGGGGAGCAUUAAAGUAAUAGAUCUUAUCUCUCUGAAGUUGCAGUAGAGCAGAUCGCAUCAAGUCUUGCCUACUAGAGAUAGCAAAUUUUGUUCUUUCAAAGUUACAAAUCCUAUCUCCCCGACGUUGCGGUGGAGUGGAUCGAAGCACCAGUUCUUACACCUCUGAAGAUGCAGUAGGAUGGAAUGGAGCCACUUGAAGAAGAAGAGCACCGAGGUCCAAGCACGACCGGGCAAAAUUAUUUCUCUUUAGUCUUUGCUCUAUUCUCGUUACACGACAACGAGCAAAGAGGGGCAACUGUAAUAGCCCAUUUUUGCCCGGGCCCGUAAUAAAUAAACCAAAUUAAAUAAAUCCAAAAGUCCAAAAUACAGAAAUAUUAACCCAAUAAAAAUCUAACCCAAUACAUACAGCCCGGAUACCUCUAACCCAAACCCAAUUAAGCCCAAACCUAAUCUGACCCAAUACGGCAGACCCAAUUCCUAAAACAAUGGCCCAAUUGCUAUGUGGCCCAACGACGCAAAAUCAGAAAACCCUAGCAGCAAGGGUCCCUAGAGCCGCAGCAGAUGCCCCCUCGCCUUCCCGCACAUGCCAAGCCUCGACCCUCACACAUACGCCAUCGUCUCCGUACCUCCACGUCUACACGCCUGCCCUCCGUACCUGCAAGAGACGCACAAACAAGCAAAAAGCAGACACAAACGAUACAAAAAAGAAGGAGAGAGAGAGAGAAACAAAAAAAUGGAGAACGGGGGCAAUUUUUAUUUUCAUUUUCUUCUGUAAAAUAGAGACUAUAAAAUAGACGGAGAGAUUUGAAAGAGGGGGUAUUAAGAACACAGAGAUAUUUUUGUAUACAAAAUACCAAAAAUAUUGAGAGGAAUCGAAAUAAAAAAAAAGAUUUGAAAAAGGUGAUUUGUUUUUCUUUGAUGCUUUUCCUUUCUUCUUUUCUUUUUCAUUUCCUGUUCUUUUUACAUGUGAAACCAUGAGAUGAGAGUAGGAAGGGAAGAAAGUACCUGGUGACCACAUCCUCUCUCC